AGCCUGAACGCUGGCGGCGUGGCUAAGACAUGCAAGUCGAACGGGUGUAGCAAUACACCAGUGGCGGACGGGUGAGUAAUGUAUCGCUAAUGUGCCCCGGAAUCCGGGAUAGCUAGCCGAAAGGCUAGGUAAUACCGGAUGAUAUGUCCUGAUGGCAUCAUCGGGACCUCAAAGGAGCAAUCCGGUCAGGGAGCAGGCGAUAUCGUAUCAGCUAGUUGGUGAGGUAACGGCUCACCAAGGCGACGACGCGUAGCCGGGCUGAGAGGUUGGCCGGCCACAUUGGGACUGAGACACUGCCCAGACU
rnacentral:rRNA from 1 species